AUUGAACGCUGGCGGCAGGCCUAACACAUGCAAGUCGAACGAGUGGCGGACGGGUGAGUAAUGUCUGGGAAACUGCCCGAUGGAGGGGGAUAACUACUGGAAACGGUAGCUAAUACCGCAUACCAUCGGAUGUGCCCAGAUGGGAUUGGCUAGUGGGUGGGGUAACGGCUCACCUAGGCGACGAUCCCUAGCUGGUCUGAGAGGAGGACCAGCAAAACGGGAACUGAGAAACGGUCCAGACUCCAACGGGAGGCAGCAGUGGGGAAUAUGGCACAAUGGGCGCAAGCCUGAUGCAGCAAUGCCGCGUGUAUGAAGAAGGCCUUCGGGUUGUAAAGUACUUUCAGCGAGGAGGCGGUACCCGCAGAAGAAGCCCCGGCUAACUCCGUGCCAGCAGCCGCGGUAAUUC
rnacentral:rRNA from 1 species